rnacentral:rRNA from 1 species
CGCUGGCGGCGUGCCUAACACAUGCAAGUCGAACGGGGUGUUCCUUCGGGGACACUUAGUGGCGAACGGGUGAGUAACGCGUGAGGAACCUGCCUUCCAGGUGGGGGCACUCCCCGAAUAACCAAAGCUUUAUGUGCUAGAAAGAUGGUCUCGCGUCUGAUUAGCUAGAUGGCGGGGUAACGGCCCACCAUGGCGACGAUCAGUAGCCGGUCUGAGAGGAUGAACGGCCACAUUGGGACUGAGAUACGGCCCAGACUCCUACGGGAGGCAGCAGGUGGGGAAUAUUGGGCAAUGGGGGAAACCCUGACCCAGCAACGCCGCGUGAAGGAAGAAGGCCUUCGGGUUGUAAACUUCUGUUGUAAGGGACGAAACAAAUGACGGUACCUUACGAGGAAGCCACGGCUAACUACGUG